UACAUUUAUGAUGGGGGAUUUUUCCAUGCCCUUUCUCUGUAAUUUAUCCCAUAUGUGUAUAUGACUCUUCCCAUAAAAAGCUUUUGCCCAAGUCUGUCUUUGGUUUUCAUGUUUUGGCUUUAUUUUUUAAUAAUUUUUGCUGUCAUGCUUUUUUUUCUCUGCUGUUUUCAAACCCAGGCCUGUUUAACCCUUCCAGCCUUCCUGACCUCCUCAAGCACAAACACCAGUUCUCUCUCCAUGCACUGUCAUUCCCUCUCCACCAAGGAAGCAAGAAAAACAGCAUCCCCUACCUCUAGGACAACAACAGACUGCUCUUCCUCUGCACCAGAAACAGCACAUGAGUCACCCAGGGAAGAUAAAUCAGGAUCAUCCCAGAAAUUCCCUGCCUGGCCAGAGGGCUGAGCUUUCUGCCAGACCUCAGCACCACUGGCAGAGCAUGACAGCAUCCCAAUAAAGAUAAUAAUUAAUUAACCA
rnacentral:lncRNA from 1 species